CUCAUACACCCUUGUGGCAGCAGUGGGAGUGGUGGCCCAGCCACUUGUGGGACCCACAACGCAACAGUAGAGGAAUGUCAUGCUCAACUGUCAUCUGAAACCUUCUCUGUGAUUAGAAUUUGCAUUUUGUCAUGGCAUCAAUGUCCCAGUAUCCACUGUGCCUGAGAAACAGGAAUCUGAAAUUGUCUAUUGCAUGGCAGCAGCUAAUCAAGUUUUGAAGGUGUAGGUUUCUUGGGCAUAGACAAAACUUUUUGGAGAAUGAAAAAAUACACUGGAAAGAAGGAACACUCUUACUGGAGAGUGAGUGCUUACAUCUUAUCAGUGGUACAGGUUUAGAGGGAACAUGGCACAGAGAAGGAACUUGGAAUCAGUAUAAGACCAGAGAGAGUCACUGCAGUUCAGACAGAACAGUUCUGGCCUACUAGCUCAGCAGAGAAGAAAACAGUCAACAGGCAGAAGAGAAAAACGUUUUCAAAAACUGAGCCAAGGAAGUAGUCUCACAGAUAAACACUGAAAUCUUGACUGAUGUUUAAAGCUGGAAGUUCACUGGUACAAUGCUGAGGUGACUGAGUGGAGUCUUCGACAUCUCAUUAUCUCGACAUAAUGUUUCAUUGCUCUGAUGCAUAUUCUAUAAUUAAAAUGUUAAGAUAACUCUUCA